UUGCGGCCGAGGGCACGCCUGCCUGGGCGCCA
rnacentral:rRNA from 1 species